CCACUCUUCCUCCAGAGUUGUGAUGUGAUCCACCGGCAAGGGAAGACACCAAUGGAAGGCGUCUGGGUAAAGAGACAUCUUAUCAACAGAAGGAACUGCAGAAGAGGAGCUGAGCCUGUUGGGGGUUUUCAGUCCUGUUGCUUCUUGCUGGGAAAGGAGGCCAGAGCCUGGAGCUGGGCAAAUCAUCU
rnacentral:lncRNA from 1 species